AGUAAGCAGAUCCCCAUUCACCCUCAGACUGGCUUUCUCUCCUCAUUUUCACUCCUUCGGGUUCCUCACUCUCAUUCCCCGGGAGCACCUCCUGAGAUGAACCGCCGGUGCUGCGGCCCUCUGUGGCAUGCUCUGCUUCUAGGUGGGAACCAGCACUAAACCUCCUCCAUUCCCGAUUCUUGUAACUGGCUUACUGGACUCAUUCAGCUCACCUUCCUGGCUCUUCAGGCAUUUGAGGUUGUGACCCUGCCUUCCAGAUUCAUCUUUAGGAACUCAUCCCAGGAUGACACUUUGAAGCAGUUAGAUGUCUUCGUCAUCAUAUGGCAUCUAAUGAAGAAGAGGCCCAGGGAGCUACUUGGGAUGGAGAAUUUCCAUGGGGAAAGCGGGAUGUUGUCGAAGAUUCUAGCCUCGUCUAUAAAAUCCUCCUCUAUGUGAUCCUGCAAGCACUUUCUCUAUCUGCAGCAGCAACACUGGAAGCCAAGUGUUAAAGAUGGCAGAGCUAUCAGAAGGAAGGAGCCUGGCUUCCUCGGUGCCUGAAUCAUCACUUGGAGGAGAGCCACCUGACAAUCGAGAACACCCAAUUUGGGCUUUAUGAGAGCAAGAAAUAAA